rnacentral:rRNA from 1 species
UAAUACGUAGGGAGCAAGCGUUAUUCGGAUUUACUGGGCGUAAAGAGCGUGUAGGCGGUUGAAUAAGUCAGAUGUGAAAUCCCUCGGCUCAACCGAGGAAGUGCAUUUGAAACUGUUCAGCUUGAGUACGGGAGAGGAGAGCGGAAUUCCCGGUGUAGAGGUGAAAUUCGUAGAUAUCGGGAGGAACACCAGUGGCGAAGGCGGUUCUCUGGCCCGAUACUGACGCUGAGACGCGAAAGCGUGGGGAGCAACCAGGAUUAGAUACCCUGGUAGUCCACGCCGUAAACGAUGGGCACUAGGUGUAGGAGGUACUGAAUCCUUCUGUGCCGAAGCUAACGCAUUAAGUGCCCCGCCUGGGGAGUACGGUCGCAAGGCUA